CCAUCUUUGGUCUUUUUGGGGCUACUUCACAUUCACCCUGACAAUGACAGAGGGGUGCAAGCAGGGCCUACAGGAGGAUCCCAGGGCCUCCUGGAGGAGAGUCUCCCCAGCAUUUAGUGUGGGAGAAGGGGUUGAAGGUCGGGGAACCAGUCUGGACCAGAACAUUUGGUUCUUGGCAUUUUCUUCAAAGAGGGCUGGACUCUGUCCAUAAUUUUCCCUUAUGUGAAAACAGGAGGCAGCUGGAAGGGGAGCAGGGGAGCUGGCAGGGACCUGGGCAGAGAGGCAGGGAGGCCUCAGUUCCAAUGUGGCCACAAAGAGCUCCACUGUGUGACGUGGCUCAGACUGGAGGCACAGAAGAGAGAUGCGGGAGGAUAGAACAGGGAGAAGGUCACCCAGAGGUUCAGGGAACAGAGGGCAGCGCAAAGGCCUCUGGGAAACAGGAAGUCCAGAUCCUGUCCAGUGCUCCUCCCCCCUCCUCCUCUUCCAAAGAUUUUCCUGCUGGGGCUCCUUAGGGAGAGCUACUGUGCAUACUCACCCCACCCGCCUGGGCAGUGUGACCAGCAGAGGCCCAGUGAGGCCCGCACAUUGCUCUUCCCCCAACAGGUGUCUAAAACCUCGGGGUGUCCUCAAGGGCUCCUGACAGGCCCUGGCCCCUGGGAUUCCCUUCGUUAUUCAGAGCCAGUGUGGGAGCCGCCGGAACCCACGUGUCUAGGAAGGUGCUUUGCCUGGCCCUGGUUGCUGUGGUAACCUGGGCGGGUAAAUGUCUGAGGACAGGGGCGUGUCCAAAGAUCCUGAGCGAAAGGGCGUGGCUAGAGCCAGCAGCUGAAGAGGGGCGGGGCCUUCUCCUUCCUUCUUCCUGUGGCUCUUUUCUCCUGCAGACCCCCAAUAAGUCUCACUCCUCUGCCUUGCCUAAGGAGACUAACCCUAAUCCUCGGGAUCCUCUUCCCCCUCCUUUUCUGCAAGAGUGCGGAGAAGGAGAAGAGAGUAUUUUUGUGUCUCCCCCAUCCAGCCCCGGAACCACGGGCAGCGCAGAGGCCUCUGGGAAGCAGGAAGCCGGAAGUCACGAUUGUGCCCAGUCGUCCCCACCUCCUGGGCUUCCAAAGAUUUUCCCGCCUUGUUUCUGUAUCCCCCGCGGAUCCUCCCGCGCACCCCACGGAAUGAACGGAAGGAAGAAAUUAAGAAUGAGAGAGAAAGAAGAAAGGAAAUUAAAACUGCUCCAGCCCAGCUGAGCCAGGUAGCCUGGAGUCCCAGGGAAUGGCCUUGGAGAGGGACAGACUCCCAGCCCAGGUGGUGGUAACAUUCAAGGAUGUGGCUGUGGACUUCACCCAGGAGGAGUGGUGCCUCUUGACCCCUCCCCAGAAGGUGCUCUACAGGGAGGUGAUGCUGGAGAAUGCCCAGAACCUGCUCUCUGUGGAAGAAGAGAUCAGACCUGAAAUGAAAAUGACUCCAAAAGAAGUGAACCUUUCUUUGGAAUAUAGUGACCAACAAAGAUUCAUGAGUAAUGAUCCGGAUACAUUCUGUAUCAAAUAUCAAAAUUCGUCCCUUAUUAAAAAUGAAAGAAUGCACAUUGAGAAAAAAUCUAAUGAAUAUAAUCAGUUCAGAAAGGCUUUUAUGCACAGGGACAGUCUUGCUGGACACUGGAGAAUUCAGAGUGGGGAGAAACCUUAUGAAUACAAGCAGUAUGGAAAGACAUUCAGUCAGAGAUCCAACUUUGAUACACAUCAGAGAAUCCAGAGUGGGGAGAAACCUUAUGAAUGUAACCAGUGUGGAAAGAUAUUCAGACUUAGCUUUUCUUUUGCUAUACAUCAAAGAAUCCACUAUGGGGAGAAACGUUAUGAAUGCAAGGAAUGUGGAAAGACAUUCAGUCAGAGAGCCCACCUUGAUACACAUCAGAGAAUCCACAGUGGAGAGAAACCUUAUGAAUGCAAGCAAUGUGGAAAGACAUUCAGUCAGAGAGCCCACCUUGAUACACAUCAGAGAAUGCACAGUGGGGUGAAACCUUAUGAAUGCAAGCAAUGUGGAAAGACAUUUAGUUGUAGCUCUUAUCUGCCUGUACAUCAGAGAAUUCACAGUGGAGAGAAACCUUAUGAAUGCAAGCAAUGUGGAAAGACAUUCAGUUGUAGCUCUUACCUGGCUGUACAUCAGAGAAUCCAUAGUGGGGAGAAACCUUACAAAUGCAAACAGUGUGGAAAGACAUUUAGUCAGAGAGCCCACCUUGAUACACAUCAGAGAAUCCACAGUGGGGAGAAACCUUAUGAUUGCAAGCAAUGUGGAAAGACAUUCAGUCAGAGAUCCCACCUUGAUAGACAUCAGAGAAUCCACAGUGGGUAGUAGCCUUAUGAAUGCAAGCAAUGUGGAAAGACUCAGUUAUAGCUCUUAUCUGGCUAUACAUCAGAGAAUCCACAGUGGGUAGGACCCUUAUGAAUGCAAGUAAUGUGGAAAGACAUUCAGUCAUAAAUCUGAUCUUAAGAAACACCAGAACAUCCACAGUGUGGAGAAACCUUAUAAAUGCAGGUUAUUUUAAGAGACAUUCAUUUAUUGCUUUCAUCUUUCUCAACAUUACAGAAUAUGGUAUCCUGAGGAAUUCUAUGAAUACAAAUGUUAAAGAGAUGUCCUUAAUCUCUCCUGUGUCAAUUGGCUGGAAAGGAAGAAUUCUAAGAAAAUCUGAACUGAGAGUCCGUGAACCAGAGUUGAAGAUUCAAUUACAAGGGAGACCAAAACUGAAGGGAUGAAGUAGACUGCCUGAUCUGAAAAGAAUGAGGGUGGACAAUUGAUCAGUGAAGAAAGGAAGCAUCUAUAGAGAGCUGAGGAUCCUUUGCCUCUGGGAUUUCUUGAGAAUAAGAGGUCUGUCUCUGAGGCAAGGAACUCCUGGUAGUAGGGCUUCAUAGAAAAUUGAAUGAGUGUUGGCUGUCUAUUAUCUUAAGGAGUUACAGAGUUGGUGACAGAUUUAUAGACUAAAAUAGAUUAGGACUGGUGUACCAGGCAGAACCUGUACUGAGAAUAUCAUUUUCAGAGAAUUUUAAAAAGUAUUAGGAAUUUCAGGUCUAUUUACAUGGCAUAGGAUUAGCAAUCUCUCUACUUCUAUUUCUUUUUUAAAUUUAACAAAGUUUAUGUUGAACUACUUGCCUCACUUUUUUGAAAUCUUUAAUUUAGCCUUUACAAAAUAUGUGGUGAGCCAGUUAGGAAUUUGAUUAACAUGUUAUUAAUCUGCUCCUAGAUUUUCAUAGGCAAUUCAAUAUGGUGUUAAACGUUAUGGCACAUGUUGUGAAGGAGGAGGUUUCAGCCUAACUCAAACAAGUCCCACUCCCUGAGAGUACCGAUGUGGCACAACUCCCACUUUCUAAUUUUUUCAGGUUGUUAUCAUUUUGGGUAGUAUUUUCUAAUGUACCAAAUUUACCAAAUAAUUUUCCUAGUUCUCUAUAAGAAUAGACAAUGCAGUGAGAGAUUUAAUUGGCACUCAAUUUGCAUAGUUUGAAAUAAUUUGUAUACCUUGAAGAAUAUAUUUCACAAAUGUCCCAAGAAUUGUUUAACCUACUUAAACUACCUCUCACUCUAAUUAACCCAUUUCUCCUACUUCCUCCACCAAUUCCAUGGUGGCUCAUGCAGAAACCCAAGAGAAAGAAACAAGAAAUAGUAAAACCACAGGCCAACUCCCAUUAAGAGAGGUACCAUCCUUUUAUCCUAAAAAAGAGUUAGUUACCACGACUUCAAAAACCAUUUACCCCAGAUGAUAUUGAGAGAUUUAAGUGGAACACUCAUUCUUUUGAGAAUGUGCCCAUAGUUAUCAAAAGGCUGAAAAGUAUAUGUUGAAACUUUGAUACCAUCUGGAUUAAUUUUGAACAUAUUUUAGAGGAUUUGCCAAUAACAAGGGAGAAAGAUAUGGUGAUCUUGCUUACUAGUGAGUCUUGGGGAAGAGGAGCAGUUCAUUGGCUUCCAAAAGAUGCCAAAUAUGAUAUUAACAUUGAAGCCAACUACUCUAGUUUGUGUUAGGCUAGGUAUUCUGUACUCAAAGCCAUUAGGGCAUGUUGUGACAGAUUAGGUAGCCAGGACAAGGUUUGACAAACUCAGACAAAAGAGUGGUGAAAAUCCUUCCCAGUUCAUGGACAUACUUAUAGAACUGGGAGGGAGAUAUAUACAAUUUGACCAGAGAAAGGGUUGUUAGACAAUUGAGAAGGCAGAUUGUGAAAUACGGUUGCAGAGUGGACUAGGACUAUUUCAAAACCAGCUUUCAUAGCUGGAUGAAUAUGGAUUUUGAUUAAUUGAGGAGAGCAGCAUUUUAUGUAUAUAAUGGUCAUGAAAAGAAAGAUGACAAUGAUUGUUGUUUACUGGGAGUAUUAAUUGAGAUAAAAGCGUUAAAGGGAAAGCUUUAAAAAAGAGAUAUGAAUUAUGGGGUAGCUAUGGCCUUUUUGGAAGAAUCUGCAAACCAAAGACCAUCAUGUUACUUAUGUGGAAAAAGGGGACAUUAAUGUUAAAUUGAAGAAGCUGUAUUCAGUUAUUUAAUAAUUUUAGACUCCUGGGUAAAUGUGGUGGCAGUCUAGACAUAGGGUUCUUCCUCUUCUCACACCUAUUAAUAUAGACUACCUCUAAAUACCAAAAAAACCAAAUUCAUAUGAAUAUAGGGACUCUAAGUUGGGUGCAGCAUUGAAAGUAAAUGGAAUUUGGGUGUUUCCACAAUAUAGGGGGGUGAGAAAGCUUCCACCAAAAUGCAAGCUCACCAACUCUCCCCCACCCCACCUACAGAGUCAGAGUCAGAGCCAGCACAAGUUGGAUUCAGUGAGUGAGUGAAGGGCACCUCUAGAGUGAGUGAGAGGCACCCUUGGUCCCUAGUAGCUGACUAACCACCAAAGACCUCCCCCUGAGAGCAGCUAGACCUGAGACCCCAACAGACCAAAGAGUGCAGACCUUGGGCACCUCUGGGGAAAUAGAAUAGAGCAGGCAACUAAACAGUAGAAGCUGCAGAGACUUGAGAGAUGGCCUCAUGCAAAAACUGCACUCCUUAGUUCCAUACAGAGGGAUCCUGCCCUCCUUACUCAGAUUGCUGAUGGAAAAGGAAAGGAAAAACCACCAUAGUGAUGGCAAAUAGUGCCCAGGAAAUACUAUUUCCCAAUACCAAGAAAAACCAAAAAAGGCUUUGACCCUGGAACAUUCACAGAGGAAAAAUCCAGAAUAUGAAGGAAGUAGCAGAAAAGGACCUACAAAUAAUGCAUCCAAGCCUUCCAAAACAUGGAAAUUGGCAACACACUCUCAGAGAAUUUAAAUAAUUGCUUGUCAAGAAGAUGGAAGGAUUCUAGCAAAAAGAGGGAGGUACUUCAAAAGGAAAAUAAGCAUUUAAAAGACAAAUGCCCAAUUGGAGAAACAGCUAGAAGCCACAAAAAGCAGGAUAGAUCAAAGAGAAAAAGAAAAUCAGUCUUUAAUGACCAGAAUUUGGCAACGGGAAGACAAUGAUCUUGCAAAACAGAAAGAAUUAAUAAAGCAAAGUUAAAAGACUGACAAAAUAGAAGAAAAUAUAUCUCACUGAGAAGAUGACAGUUCAGAAAAACAGCAAGGAGAGACAAUUUGAGAACCAUUGGUCUACCUGGAAACCCAGAAAUAAACAAAUCUUCACUUCAUUCUACAAGAAAUUAUCCAAGAAAACUGCCCUGAUAUUCUUGAACAAGGGAGCAAAAUAGACAUUGAAAGAGUUCAUAGAUCAUCCUCUGCACUACAUCCUCAAGAGAUAACCCCAAGGAAUGUAAUUGCCAAAUUGAAGAGCUUCAAAGCUAAGGAGAAAAUUUUACAAGAAGCCAAAAAGAAACAAUUCAGAUAUCAAGGAGCACUAAUCAGAAUUAUACAAGAUCUGGCAGCUUCCACACUAAAGCACCACAAUGCUUGGAAUAUGAUAUUCAGAAAGGCAAGAGAAUUGAGUCUUCAACCGCGGAUCACCUUUCCAUCAAAACUGACUAUAUACUUCCAGGAGAAAGUGUGGGCAUUCAACAAAAUAGAUUUCCAUGUAUUUGGAAGAAAAGACCAGAGCUUAGUGGAAUGUUUGAUAUCCAAACACAAAAAUGAAGAGAAACAUGAAAAGGUAAAUAAGAAAGAGAAGGGAAAGGGGAAAAAACUUUUUUUAUUAAUACUUUCUUUAAAGACUUCAAUAAGAUCAAAUUGUUUAUAUUAAUAUACAGGAAAAUGUUACUUGUGUCUCAAAAAUUUUAUUCACUAUUAUAGUAAUUAAAAGAAUUUUUCACAGGAAUAGAUUGGGGUAAUAAGUAGAAUAAGAUGAUAUACAAAAGAAGAAAAAGGGAAGGGGGAAUAGAAGAUGGCACCAAGAGAAACAUGAGGAAAUAAGAUAAAUAGGAUAAUCUGUAUCACACAAAGAGGCACAUGGGAAGGGGAGGGGAAGAAUACUAUUAUAAGAAGGAUAGGAAGAGAGUGCUAAUAGGUAAUACUUGAACCUUACUCUCAGUGAAAUCAGUUCUGAGAGGGAAGAGCAUCUAGAUCCAUUGGGGUAUCGAAUUCUAUCUUACCCUACAGGGAAAGUGAGAAGGGAAAACUAAUGGGGUGGGAGUGGGGGAGGGAAUAUAAAAAUGGAGGGAAAGAGAGGGGGGAAGAAACUUAACAGACCCUAAAAAAUAAGGGGAAAAAAAGCGAGGGGGUGGAAAAGGAAGCAUGUCAAAUAUUCAAUAAUUUUAAAAAUAAUGGAAAUUUUAGGAACAUCUAGUAACAACAACUAUCCAAGAAACAAGAGAAAUGAUCAUAGAAAUUAUUAUUUCAUAGAUUUCAUUAAAUCAUAGAAAUGACAAUUACAGGAACAAUUACGUAAAAAAAAUUCUAGAUAUUAUGCUAAUGAUAGAUCCAAUAAUUAAAAUGAGGCAAAUGAAUAUAUCUGAAAUGGGACUUGUCCAUGCAGUAGCCAUAAUGUAAAUCCUCCUCAACAACCGAAAUCUGAGAGGUACACACGGGCCUUUCUGAAGGUUUGAGAGGGGAGAAAUCACUCUGGAAUCAAAGAUUAAAACAUUUGAUUUUCCAGACAAUGAUAUAAUUACAACAGUCAUCCCAAUCCAUCCUCCCUCAAAUAGUAAUGAACCACAGUAAGAAUAAUACAGAUCUAUAUCUGUGGAUCUAGUCAGAUAUCUAGCCCUACAAAUUAGCUUCAACUUACAUAUACUGAAUAAAGAAAUAAAAGAGGUUGAGCCAGCAAAGGAGGGCAGAGAGGAAAGGGGAGAGGGGGUAGAGGGAAGGAGAAAACCAAAGAAUUGAACAGUCAUGCAGGCUUUUCAAUACCACCAUCAGUGCCAACCUGCAGUGAUGGAAGGUCAAAGUCAGAUAGAAUGAGCAGUCAUGGAUUGUUGGGCUGUUACCAGCAUCAUUUCAGCAUAUCUUGGGAAUGCUUUUUACAGGAAAACCACAAAAUAAUCCUUUUAACACAACUUAUAACUUUAAAAUAAAUACCCAUUUAAUUUUAAACAUUGGUAUAAAACUUGGUUUAAACAAUUAUAAAAAGGAAAAAUACCACCAUAUGUACCCUAUUGUGCAAUAAACCUCUCUCCUAUACUCGCUUCACAUUUAAGUCCAAUGGCAUUCCAAUGUAAUAUCCGUUUCUAAUGGUUAUUUUGCCACAUCUGGCAUGGAGACAAUACAGUCUCCUCUGAAAAACCCUGUAUGCAGCUCUGUUAGUGUCCUAAAAGAACCUUAAAGCUGGGACUAGUAAAAUCCACAGAAAUUCACUCUUGCCUUUAAGAACUUUGAAAACUUAAAAAAAAAAAAUAGGGCAGGAACUUAAAUCUAAGACCAAAUGUAGAUGUCUGAUUUGGUGGUUCUCAGUGAAUGACAAUGGGGAGUUUGGGGGGUAUGGGGAGAAGUGGGAUGGUCAGACAUGGAUUCUCUUGUUGGCUUUGAUGCCUCUCACUAGGUUUCAUCUUUCAUAUCCUGCAGCACUUCUUUAUUCUCUUUUUCACCAUCACCCUGUAUAUCUGAAGUCCAUAGUGUCAGAUUAUCACGUAACAACUGCAUUAUAAGUGUCAAGUCCUCAUCGCUUUCUUCACUCAGUGUAUCGAGUUCUGCAAUUGUAGCAUCUAAAUAUGCUUUUGCCAACUUGCAGGCAUGGUCAGGGGAAAUAAUAAUUUCCUAGUAUAAUACCAAAAAGUUGUGAGCAAGACCUAAGCGGAUGGGAUGCAUUGGUGGAAGUUCUGUCACUACAACAUCACUAGAAGCUUUAUAAACCAUCAGGCUAUUCUCUACAGCCUACUUCAAGUCAUUUCCUGUGACAAAUUCAGCCAGAUAACUGUGGCAGUCUCCUUUUAUUUCUAUUAUAAUAGAAUUUUUCUAUUAUAGAAAUAUUUCUAUUAUAAUAGAAAACCUUUCCUUUCAGAACUUUGAAAACUGUUUAAGAAAACAACCUCGCCUACCUUCCCAGUCUGCUUACAUUUUACAUCCCUCUACCUGAUCUAUGAUGCAGUGACACUGAUAUCCUUCCUGUUCCUCACACAUGACACUCCAUCUUUCCACCUCAUGCCUUUGCAUCGACUCUGCCCUAUGCCUACAAUGCUCUCCUUCCUCAGCUUCACCUCCUUGUUCUCCCAAAUGGCUUCAAGACUCAGUUCAAAUCUCACUUUCUGCAAGAAGUCUUUCUCAGUUGCCUCCACUUUAAUGCCUUCCUUCUAAAAUCAUCUUUAAUUUUUACUGCACGUAGCUGGUUCAUCUAUAAGUGUUGGCACACUGUCUUCCUCUUUAGAUUGGGAGGUUCUCAAGCAAAGUGCUGUCUUUUUCUUUGUUUCUCCAAUGCUUGGCAAAGUGUCUGGCACAAAGAACCAGCUAAAUGAAUAUGUAUUGCUGCUACUGCUGGUGAUAUUGUUUGAUGGGGUGUUAUUAUUGGACUGAUGGCAUUUCUCUUUUUUAAGCUGGUUACCACUAAGGCUAGUUUUGGGUAGGGGAGGGGUAUAGAUGUAUUUAAAAAUGGAACUGAUAUAAAAGAUAAAAUUAUAGUAAGUUUAUCAAACUUUAAAUUUUAUUUUCCCUGUUAUAUAAAAAUAAUUUUUAAUAUUAAGUUAUUUUUUUAAAUUUUGUGUUCCAAAUUUUCUUUCCUCAUUUUUUUCUUCACCCCAGCCCACUGGCAAACAAUCUGAUAUAGAUUUUACACGUGCAAUCACGUAAAAAAUAUUCCUCAUUUGUCAUUUUGUCGAAGAAGUAAAGAAGAAAGAACGUGAUUAGAGUACAUUUUGUUCUGCAUUCAGACUGUAUCAAUUCUUUCUCUGGAGGCAGAUGAAAUUUUUCCUCAGGAGUCCCUGGCAUUAUCCUUGAUCACUGCAUUGCUGAGAAUAACUAGGUUAUUCAAACUUGUUCAUCAGAAUAUAACAUGGUCUUCUUGUUCUGCACAUUUCACUUUGCAUCACUUCAUGUAAAUCCAGAUUUUUAGUCAUCCUGCUCAUCAUUUCUUAUACUAGCAUAAUAGUAUCCCAUCACAAUCUGAUACAAUUUGUUCAGCCAUUCCCCAAUUGACGGGCAUUCCCUCAAUUUAAAAUUCUUUGCUACUAGAAAAAGAGCUGUUACAUUUUUGCACAUAUACAUCCUGUUUCCUUUUUUAAAAAAAUAUCUUGAGAGGGGGACAGCUGGGUAGCUCAGUGGAUUGAGAGUCUGGCCUAAAGACAGGAGGUCUUGGGUUCUGAAAUAAGUAUGUUUGGGAACUGAUAGAAGGAAAUAGGUUUGAUUUAGGGUUUUGGAUGAUUACUGAACCCUCAAAUAGUUUCCAAUAGACUUUAGGCUCAGAUGUUAGGCCUUACCUACAGUAUGUCAAUGGUAACAAUCUGACUGCUUUCUCUCUUUUUUUAAACCCUUACCCUCUGUCUUAGAAAUAAUAUUGUGUAUUGGUUCUAUGGCAGAAGAGUGGUAUGGGCUAGGCAAUGGGGGUGAAGUGACUUGCCCAGGGGCACACAGCUAGGAUGUGUCUGAGGCCAGAUUUGAGUCCAGGACCUACCAUAUCUAGGUCUGGCUCUCCAUCUACUGAGCUACCCAGUUGCUGCACCCCCCCUGCCAACGGCUUUCACUUAUUAUCAACAGUAACUUGAUUUAUUUAUCAAACACAGGAUAGAUUAAUGAUGGGAGCCAUCAAAUCCAUACUGUCUGACACAGUCACAGGUGGAAUCCAGGGACUUAAAGGUGGCCCCCACGAAGGAUGGAAAUACCCACUCAGACUCCCUUGUGUGACUCCUCUCUUACUAUACUCCCUAUUAUUGAAAUUGUUAUGAUUAAUAUUCUUACUCAGCCCCAGGGAAAUAUAGAAGAAGCUGGAGGGCUUUUAAUAAUUCCUCAGGAAAAUCCCACCCUUACAUGUAAUGAUAUGGAAAUUCCCCUUAAAUUCACUUCUUAAAUAAUUGACAGAUAGUGAUUUAAUGUUAAGGACUUUCUUGGUUAUACUUGAAACAGAUGUCCUGAUAUACUAAGAAUCCAAUUUCUCCAAUAAUGAUAGGAGGACACCCACCUCAUUCCCCCUAGGAAUAAGCCCCCAACAAAACUGUACUUAGAUCCAACACUCCCAUAUACAAGAGCUUAGGGAUGACAAGUUUCCCUGAUCCGGUAUAUUUGCCCUUCAUGGAAAGACUGGUACAUUCUAUUCCACCAGAUUGUUUAACCCUGUAGGCUAGGCAACAUGUCAAGGAUAUCUUAGCAAAACAUUGGAGAAUGAAAGAUUGUUAUUGGUAUAAUACUAAAAUUGGUUCACUUGAUUGUAUCCUUGGAAGUGUGAAACUGGGUUAUGUUGGUUGUAUCUUUUGAAGUCUGAUUGAUUGUGUAAUUGAUUAGUGUAAUGAAUAAUUAUUCUGGCUUAACCACAUGUCUGGCAUUUCACUGGUCAAUGAGGACUUGACCUCUAGGAGAGCAGCCCCAUGACGAGAACACAAAUAUUUUCUGCAAAGCUUUGCAUCUUUUGUCAAAAUUUAUGGAAUCAAAGAAUAUAGUGCCAACCAAAUGAUUUAUUAAAAGUUAAUGUAUGACUUGUAUGUGUAAUCAUUGAGUGUAUAAAAAAUAAAUAUGUGCAAUCCAAGAGGAGAGCAGUUCUUCUGCAAUGCUUGUGUAAGAGAGAGAAAUAGAUCCAGCAUACAAAAGAGCAACUCAAGCAUGGGAAAGGCAAGGAGAACAGAGGAUUCCAGAAAGGAACACAGAAGAGCUGAGGAGAAAACUGCCAGAUCAACUCGCUUCUCUUUGGGAAUUCCCCUAGAGUGCUUGGUUUAAGAGAAACUUCUGAGACAGAAGACUUUCUGAGCAUUGACCACCUCCCAGUGAACCCAAACCCCUUGGAUCCAGCUGAAGAUAAAGGAGUGGAUGGGACUUUAUUAGAAAGCCAUCCACCCAAAGAAGAUUUCUCUCCAUUCCCUAAAUUGUCGAACUUCAUGCUACAACUAGGGUAGAUAGAAGUCAGGACAGAUCACACAACUGACCAAUGAGGGUCAGGCAGACAGCCUGAACCCAUAGGAUUUGGGGAGAGGGGGGUAAGUUGUUAGCUUUUGCGGAUUUCCAACUUCCCAAAUUCUACAAUCCUACUUUCCCUGUCUUGUGUGUCCUUUUAAAAUAAAAGUUAUUCCCUUUA